rnacentral:tRNA from 1 species
CCUUUAGGGGCGCUCGCAAUGCGGUGACAUCGGGAAUGUCACCGAAAGUCUUGGUGCCGGCAUCAGUCCGGUCCAAGGCCGGGUUAAAGGG